GGUUGUGGCUCAAUGGCAGAGCGCUUGCCUUGCACAUGUGAGGCACUAGGUUCAAUCCUUAGCACCA
rnacentral:tRNA from 1 species